rnacentral:rRNA from 1 species
GAUGAACGCUAGCGGGAGGCCUAACACAUGCAAGCCGAGCGGUAUUGUUUCUUCGGAAAUGAGAGAGCGGCGUACGGGUGCGGAACACGUGUGCAACCUGCCUUUAUCUGGGGGAUAGCCUUUCGAAAGGAAGAUUAAUACUCCAUAACAUAUUGAACGGCAUCGUUUGAUAUUGAAAGCUUCGGCGGAUAGAGAUGGGCACGCGCAAGAUUAGCUAGUUGGUGAGGUAACGGCUCACCAAGGCGAUGAUCUUUAGGGGGCCUGAGAGGGUGAUCCCCCACACUGGUAAUGAGACACGGACCAGACUCCGACGGGAGGCAGCAGUGAGGAAUAUUGGGCAAUGGGUGCAAGCCUGAACCAGCCAUCCCGCGUGAAGGACGACUGCCCUAUGGGUUGUAAACUUCUUUUGUAUAGGGAUAAACCUACUCUCGUGAGGGUAGCUGAAGGUACUAUACGAAUAAGCACCGGCUAACUCCGUGCCAGCCGCCGCAGUAACAC